rnacentral:rRNA from 1 species
AGCAGUAGCCACGGGAACACGUAGGUGGCAAGCGUUGUCCGGAAUUAUUGGGCGUAAAGUGUCUGUAGGUGGCUUUUCAAGUCCGCCGUCAAAUCCCAGGGCUCAACCCUGGACAGGUGGUGGAAACUACCAAGCUGGAGUAUGGUAGGGGCAGAGGGAAUUUCCGGUGGAGCGGUGAAAUGCAUUGAGAUCGGAAAGAACACCAACGGCGAAAGCACUCUACUGGGCCGACAUUGACACUGAGAGACGAAAGGUAGGGGAGCAAAUGGGAUUAGAUACCCCCGUAGUCCCUGUCUCUUAUAC